GCCCGGGUGGUGGAAUGGUAGACACGGAGGACUCAAAAUCCUUUGCCCGCAAGGGCGUGCGGGUUCGAAUCCCGCUCCGGGUA
rnacentral:tRNA from 2 species